rnacentral:rRNA from 1 species
GAUGAACGCUGGCGGCGUGCCUAAUACAUGCAAGUCGAGCGAACAGACGAGGAGCUUGUUCCUCUGACGAUAGCCGCGGACGGGUGUGUAACACGUGGAUAAUCUACCUAUAAGACUGGGAUAACUUCGGGAAACCGGCGCUAAUACCGGAUAAUAUAUUGAACCGCAUGGUUCAAUAGUGAAAGACGGUUUUGCUGUCACUACUAGAUGGUUCCCCGCCGCAUUAGCUAGUUGUUAGGUUAACGGCUUACCAAGGCGACGAUGCGUAGACGACUUGACAGGGUGAUCGGCCUCACUGGAACUGAGCCAGGGUCCAUAGGCCUACGGGAGGGAGCAGUAGGGCAUCUUCCGCAGUGGUCGAGAGCCUGGCAGAGCAGGGCCGCGUGAGUUAUGAAGGUCUUCCGAUCGUAAAGCUCUGUUAUUAGGGGAGAACAAAUGUGUAAGUAGCUAUGCACUUCUUGACGGUACCUAGUCAGAAAGCCACGGCUAACUACGUG